UAGUCCACGCCGUAAACGAUGAGUGUUAGAUGUCCGAGGUAAACUUGGGUGUCCCGAGCUAACGCGAUAAACACUCCGCCUGGGGAGUACGUACGCAAGUAUGAAACUCAAAGGAAUUGACGGGGACCCGCACAAGCAGCGGAGCAUGUGGUUUAAUUCGACGCAACGCGAAGAACCUUACCAAGUCUUGACAUAACUUUGAAGCCUUCUAGAGAUAGUGGGUGUUUGACUUCGGUCAACAAAGCUAC
rnacentral:rRNA from 1 species